AGAUGUAUAUGAGACUCUCAGCUGUAGGACAUGGACAUUAUUAAACAUGGUCUCCUCAGCUUGCUGCUGUUUGUGCUCUGGAUAAAAGGUUUAACUGAUGGGAGUGAUGUCAACCAGAUUUCCACAUUAUGGAAGAAGGAGGGUGACAGUGCAACAAUAGACUGCAGCCACAAAAAGGAAGCUGGCUACAACCAGAUGUACUGGUACAGACAGCGACCAGGAGAAACAAUGAAACUCAUCGUGUUCACAUCAACUGCCAGCAAAGAUCAUGACUUUGGAGAUUUCAGCAAAGAGAAAUUCUCAGCCACCAAACCUGCCUUUGACAUUGGGACAUUCACAGUGAAGAAUCUGGUGCCACAAGAUGAAGGCUUGUAUUUCUGUGCAGUGAGCAAACACAGUGAUACAGACACAUGUGAAAGCUGAACAAAAACCCCAACACACUCUUAACCAACUGUACUCAUCUGCUCGACUGUAGGGGGACCUCAAGCACAAUCACAGAACAUCACAUAAUACAGCGACACUCCCACCUGC